AGUGGGAUAGCUGGGUCAAAUGGUGGUUCCACUCCAAGUUUUCUGAGGAAUCUCUAUACUGUUUUUCAGACUGGUUACACCAAUCUGCAGUUCCACCAGCAAU
rnacentral:pre_miRNA from 1 species